CAGGUAAGUUUUACUGCUGCUUGUAGAGAUAACUUUACAGUAUUUUGUAAUUUAUACUCUUUUUUCUCUGUCUCAUGCAUUUGUUUGGUAAUUCAAAUAGGUAUCCUCGCAGCUCUUAAAAAAGCCUCAAAUAUUUUGCUGUACUGCAAUAUACUGAAGAUAGGAUGUUGUUAGUUGUUACUGACUGUAAUUAAUCUUCAGGUCAAUUCUACAGAUAUGACUUCAUUUUUUCUAAGAACUAUACACUUUCUUUUAUGUAUUUCAAAAAAUGAGAUUGCACUGAUGAAUUUUUAACAUAUUAAACACUGUUAAAUCUCUGCUGCAUCCUAGGCAUUAAUGCUGGAUGUCUCAUACUUUAACCUCUGUUCUAGCCUGCACUAGUCUUUAACAGCCUUUUAGUUCAAAAGAAAAGGCACUAUGUAUGUAAAGAAUAUAAUUUAUUUUUAUUCUCCUUAAUCGAUACAUUUAUAUUCCAGGUUCACUCUUGCCACAAGUGGAGUUGAUCUUGAUCCGGCUCGUUGUUCCUUUUUCCUAUGCAUAUACUUCUUUGAAAAUUUGAUCUAAAGAGGCAUAGGGCAUGGGAAAAUGGGGCAACUGAGGUACCUCACCAUUCAUUUCAAACAGCACUGCCAAGGAGACUGUAGAAAUAUAUAAAGAAAACAGAUAUAUGAAGAAAUGAAAGGUAUCUUGGAAGUGGAAUUGCAAAAGUUCUUUUCACAUUUUUCAUUCAGUAGAAAAACAAUCAUUAAACACAUUUGUCAUGUUUCUUCCCAGUUACUUUUAUUUACUCUAAAUAACAAUGUACCACAUCCAUUCUGGGGAGAAAAAUAUUACUAUUAUAAAACAAUGUAACUGUACAUACCACAUGUAGAAUAAAAAUCUAAUGUUUAAGUCUCACAUCAAAAGUUUGCAUUACCCUGCAUCACAAAUUCUAACAAGUCUUGUAGAGCUAUGUGCUUAGAAAAUGCAAAACUAGGUGCAUUACAUGUCGUUUCACUUUGUGGCUAUUGUUAUGUUAAAUUAUUCUAGCCUAAAGAAGUAUUUUAGAAGUUACUGUUUCAUUUAUCUGAUUCAUAAUACUGUCAGAAGACUAUUCUAUUUACAUGUCACUUUUCUUCUUAAACUAAAAGGCUAUUAAAAAAAUACAUCCACAA